UUCCCCACCUGGAAUGCGUCCUGGCUUCGGCUGGCCCGGCCCAACCCUCAGCGGCCGCGGUGCCCAGGCCCACUCCUUCCGCGCCUGGAAACGUGAGACGGGUCACUGAGGACGACGUAGGCAAACUUUGCAGAGCACGUUGCCACCUGUUGGAGUAGCCGCUCCAGCCCCAGUCGAAAUGCACGGCCGAACAAUGGCAGUUCUGAGUGGCUCAGGGGCCCACACUUUCUUUAAAACCGAUGCACUCGUAGUAAUAUUUCUUAUGCCCCACAUCCAGAGGCCUGUGCUCACCACCUCAGCAGUGCCCGGGGAGGUUCGCCAGGCGUGGGCAGGCUCUCCCUUGAAAGCACCUGACCUGGUUCUACCUUGCACUGGGGCUGAAUGGGGGUUAAAGGUGGGCCCCACCGCGCCACACUGUAGCUAAUUUAAAAAAAAAAAAAUUACUGAAGUCAUGAGACCUACAAAUUUCAGGCAGUCCAGAAGGAAAGUGUGUGGAGACAGAGAAAGGUACGAUAGUACGUUAAAAACAGGCAGCUUAAACAGCAGCGGGAAUUACAUGGGAAUCUCUUAUUGUAAUGCAUGAACAGAGACGGCUUUAAGAACAACAAAACUUCUUGAAAUGCAAAACAGCAAUGAAAAUGCAAGUCUCAGAUUUACUGACAUACAAGAAACAACUGAAGGGGAAUUACAAUGUUUGAAGACAGACAAGAGGAGAUUAUUCAGAAGAGAGACACUAGCAGGUUCACAAGAAAAGGGAACAGGACUGGACCGCUGGCUGUUCCUUCUUUGAUCCCAGGCAUGAUUUCAGCUUGUAGAAUAAAUGAGAAAUGCCUGUUGGUUUAAUUAAAAGAACCGCAUUGGCUGUGCUAGCCUGCCUGCCUUCUGGUGCCCAAGCAAGUGUACUGAUAAAGGAAUCAAAAGCUGCACACUCAAUUGUCCCAGGGUUUUCUCAUCUAUCUUGACAGCUUUUGAGAAUAUAAGUCAAUUUCUCAAAAGCGGUUUAUUGUAAGCCUUGAAAUAUCCAGUUUCCUACCUGGUACCUUAAAUCAUUACUUUUUCCGUAGGGAUAACUGGUGAACUAUCUCCAAAAUAUAUCCUUCUUGUCCGUUGACUCAGAUAGCUCAUUGGGAAGAAGCCAGCUGUCUCCUCUGGGAUGCUGGCUGGCCUUUGAGGUGGGCCCUGGAGCUACUGCCUGGGGAUCAAUGUACUACCACAACACAGACUAAAUUCCUGGUCCCUUGGGAUAUACCUCCAGUGUAAGACCUCCAGGAAGGACUCCUGCUAGGCCCAAUCACAGAGACUAGUAGGUGUGGUCAGAAAGCCCGGGGCACAGCCUGAUUGGUCAUUGUACAGGCGCGUUACCACUAAGGCUGAGCUUUAGGAGAAGAGCAAGACAAUAUCAAUGGCUAGUGGGGUUCACAUGAAGGCAAGACAUGGACAGCUGCUCCUUCAUCCGUGUUUUUAUCCCCAAGGAACAGCUUUGUGAAAGUGCUCUGUGCUCUCAAGCUGUUGCCAGCAGGGUCUGUCUCUUCAGCGUGGCUUUUAAGAGGAAAGUGCAGCAAACUGGAGCCUUAGCAAAAGGCUGCUCGCUAGCAUGAGAAGCAUUUGAUUCCAGCUUGGAAACAAGGGGUGGGGCAAAGCCUUUUUACCACCUCCACCCCAUCUCUCCCUCUCUCCCUUUCAGAAAGGCAGAUUUAUCUAGUGGUGCAUCCCUUGCCUUCAUGUCAGAGUGUCAGCUUUGUCAUAUUCCUGACUGUUGUUACUAGAAUUUUUUUAAGAUUUAUUUAUUUUAAGAUGUAUUUAUAGAUACUUUUUGCCUGCACACAUAUCUCUGUGGGGGUGCUCUGGAACUAGAGUAUGUGGGUUGUGGGAAUUGAACCCCAGUCCUCUGGAGGAGCAGCCAGUGUUCUUAAUCACUGAGCCAUCUCUCCAGUCCCAAUUACUGGAAUUUCAUAUGAAAGCAAAACCACGGCAUAAAUCUUAGCAAAUUUGAAUUCCAUACUUUUUACCUUUUUCCAUUCACCAGAGAUGAGAUGCAGGUAUAUUCACGUUAAAACAAAAAUGCAAACAAGUCAGAUAAUUAAAAGGAAAUCCAGAUGAUGCUCUCAAACCUGAAGAAACACUUGUGGAGCCAGAUGGAAGCAGAGUAGAGUUGGACUCUGUCACCAUCCCAAGGGAACGAAGCAUCAUGGGCUCUGAUUUGUUCACUUGUUUCUUUAUGUGCGUAUGUACAGGAAUGUAUACUUGUGCUUGCAUGGAAGUCAGAAGAGAGCAUCCUGUCUCCCUCUCCAUCACUGUCUUCUUCCUCUGAGCCAGGGUCUGUCCCUCAACCCAAGGCUCUUGGUCUUCUUGGUUAGGCUAGAAGGCAGCAAGUCCCAGCAAUCCCCCAGUCUCCGGCCCCUUAAUGGAUCAGUCUGGGGGUGUAGAGUGUCUGUGGGAUCCAAACUUGAGAUCGUAGCAAGCGAUCUUAACUGUUGAGCCCUCUUUCCAACUGCUCCCUGUCUUGACAGCAAGAAAAAUCCCAACAUAUACUCUGAGGUCAUGUUGGAACCAUGUGUUUGGAGACAGCAGAGGUUUGGGACAAUCUUUCCAAUCAGGAUGACUCACAGCUGUGAUCAGGGCUUUCUCUUUUAUCAGCUAUACUAUCAGAAAAGAAGACCCUUGUGAGCACAGUGUCUGCCUCAAGCUCUUCAUCUUUUCCACUGUUACAAAAUCUCUGGGGGAGGAUUACACACAGGAUCAUGAGUCCUGUGUAUGAAAUUAUGAUGACUUAUGAAUGAUUACAUUCAUCACAAUUACUGUGAAUAAAAAAUGUUAUGUUUUA
rnacentral:lncRNA from 1 species